GGAAAUUUCCGACCGCCGAUCGAGGUAAAUUUCAUACCCCCGACUCAUUUUUUCCCCACUGAUUCCUCCUAUGGCCAAAUCGAAGCCGAAAUCCCGGCCAAACGGCCGGAAUACGCGGCCGAAGCCCAGCGGCACCGCCGCGCCCCCUCUCGGUUUUUGCCUCCGACGAGGCCCUUCCCGGCCUCCGUUCGAUGCAAUUUUUAUAUCACCGUGAUCACCAUUC
rnacentral:lncRNA from 1 species